CCUACGGGUGGCAGCAGUGAGGAAUAUUGGUCAAUGGACGCUAGCCUGAACCAGCCAAGUAGCGUGAAGGAUGACUGCCCUAUGGGUUGUAAACUUCUUUUAUAUGAGAAUAAACUGCAGUAUGUAUACUGCUUUGCAUGUACCUUAUGAAUAAGGAUCGGCUAACUCCGUGCCAGCAGCCGCGGUAAUACGGAGGAUCCGAGCGUUAUCCGGAUUUAUUGGGUUUAAAGGGAGCGUAGGCGGGUUGUUAAGUUAGUGGUGAAAGUUUGAGGCUCAACCGUAAAAUUGCAGUUGAUACUGGCAGCCUUGAGUACAGUAGAGGUAGGCGGAAUGUGUGGUGUAGCGGUGAAAUGCUUAGAUAUCACGCAGAACUCCGAUUGCGAAGGCAGCUUGCUGGACUGUAACUGACGCUGAUGCUCGAAAGUGUGGGUAUCAAACAGGAUUAGAUACCCUAGUAGUC
rnacentral:rRNA from 1 species